CUUCCCUUCACCGCCAAACAUUUUGUAGACAUCCAAUUUCCAUUCUUUUCUUUCUUCAAUUUGCAGAGAACAUUUAAGAGAGAUUUUGGAAGAAGAAGAGGAAUUUUACUAGAAUUUUGAGGUUGACGAAGAGGAGAACUCAAGCAAAGUGUAUCCAUGGCUGAAUUUUAGUUCAUUCUGCACAUAACUGGUUUUUAAUUCGGUUUGAACUCUUCAAAAGAAAUUAAGAGGGCAGUUGGUUUUCACUCGAAAUCAGGAGGUCUCUGGUUCUUCUUGUAUUUCAGAGUGUACCAAUGGAGUUAGAAUCUCUAUUUGGGACAAGUUAAAGAGGUCGUGUGCGCGCGAUUCUGGAAGUGGUUCUGUUUCGAGGGUUAUCUGAGUUUAUGCACGGGGAAUCAGAUUUACAUGUCUUCAGAUACAGGUACAGAAAAGCGUUGUUCAUCGACUUCAUGCCACCUUUCGGUCUAAGGUAGCAGGUAGUCCGAGAGGGGGUGUGACACUGGUUAUCUUUUUCUUACGUACAACUCAAGCUUAUUCAACUUGUUUGUCGAAAAUUGGAAAAUUUAAGCAAUAUUAUGCAAGGCCCUAAUUCAAAAAAAGAAAGUCCUAUUGAAAGGAAGCCUUACUGGAAAGUUAUUUCGGAUAAAUAUAAGCAUGAGACAUCCUACUAGAAAGGUUGCGGGAGGAUAAAAGGUGAAGUGAAGAGAAAUGUUUGAGUCUAAGUUCUAUUGCGUAAGGUAAGCAACGUGAUAAGAAUAGCUGGCAAGGAAGAAGCAUGCAUUGGAUGCUAAGGGCUAGGCGUUUAGUGUGGUAAUGCGGGAAGAAGUACCUAGCCUAAGAGAGUGCAGUGAAGAAGUAGGUGUCCUAUUAAAAUGACUAAACAACUCGCUGUGGGAAGUAUAUGUCUGUUGCUUCCUGGGGUGAUAGAAAGAGUCAGGCGAUUAAAGAGUUUGGCUUUCUAAGGAGAUAUGGUUGGCGUCUCAAGGGAACGCCUAAUCAUCGUUGAUAUUUGAUCGACGUGUUGAGUUUGGAUUAGCUGCAUGACACGACAAAUUUAUAAAGUGGCACGUGUAAAGCAUAGAAGUGACCCUUGAGUGUGGAAGGAGGGCCCAAGACCGAAGGAAAAAGAAGUUUUAAAAAAUGUUAAACACUUUGAUAGAUUACAAGAGAAAGCUCUGAGUGUAGAAUGACUGGUCGAGGGAACCAUUAGGUGAGAAGAGAAAGCCGAAAGCAGAGAAGGAGGAAGUUGAAGCUAAGUAUUUUCAUGAGUGAUUCUCCUUAAAUAAAACAAGUAUUUUUGUGAAAGAUCUUUGUAAUAAAUGUUUGUUUUUAGUAACUUUCAUAAGCAAAAUAUUUGUAAAUCUUUCAUCAGUGGAAGAAAUGUCUUAUAAAUGAUUUCCAUAAAUAAUUAAUAUUGUGUUUAUGAUCUUGAUAAAUGAAAGAUGUACUCUAUUGAUGAUCGUUUGAAAGUAUUCUUUUGUUGAUGCUUAUUGCAUGAUAUUUACUACUGUGAUUUUAUGAACGAAAAGUAAGCUGGAAAGCUAACCUUUUUGUCUGCUGAUUGUAAUGGUUGUAUGAUGUGAGAAAGAUGAGACCUAUAACAAGACGCUGGUGGAAAUCCUAGGUAACUUGCACGACAUUGGUUGAAAGUGAAUCCCAGGUCCAGGGGAGGGAAGAAUCCCAGGUCAGGCAAGCAGUGAUGUGUUAUUGACGCUAGAUGCUAGCGGAAUGUGAAUCCUAGAUCUAGGCGAGGAAUGAUGCAUGUGACACUGGUUUAAUGUGAAUCACAGAUUUGAGAAAAGAUUAUGGCGAUACACAUGUGGAAAUCCUAGGUAACUCGUGUGACACUGGUUAAAUGUGAAUCCCAGGUCCAGGCGAGGGAAAAAUCCUAGGUCCAGAUGAUGAGUUUGGAUUGUGUGAUGUCUUAAGCACGUGGAACUUAUCGUGCUUGUUGCGAUUGUGGUUUGAUUGAUUGUGAUUUGAUUUGAUGAGAACCUUAUGUUUUGUGAAUUGACCUUGUUGUUGCUACAUCUGAAGUUGUGUAUUCCCCAAAAGGUAUUUGCAAACUUAUCGCUCACUAAGUUCGUUUGACUUACAUUUUAAGUUUCCCUUCCCCAGGUUUUCAGGCAUGGAUCGAAGCCAAGUAAAAGAUGGAUCUCUAGCGUAAAAGUCAAGUAAAGGAGGAAAGACAAGGUUGUUAUGUAAACUUGUGCGGUGCGAGGGGCGUGUCAUCCUACCUUGCUUUUAAAGAUCCAAUUCGUAAGCACAUCGCUCUUUAACUCCCAAAACUUAGUUCAGCAGGAUGGCGAGUGCACACUUAGGUUGGUGAGGCCAAACCCGAGGAGUAAAAGAGUUGAAGAACUGAGGCAGGGAAAGGAAGCUCUGAAGGUUGUUUUCUAAGUUAGGAUUGCUGCGCGACCGAGGUGUAGAAAAUAAGGAGCAUUGGGUUUUAUGUCCUAAAACUCGUAGAUAGUAAAUAUAAUUCAUUGACUGUUAUUAAUAAAGUGUUAUUGUUAUAAUUUCAAUAAGUGUUAUUGAUUAUA